CACGAACGCUGGCGGCAUGCCUAACACAUGCAAGUCGAACGAUCCCUUCGGGGAUAGUGGCGCACGGGUGCGUAACGCGUGGGAAUCUGCCCUUGGCUUCGGAAUAACAGUUAGAAAUGACUGCUAAUACCGGAUGAUGUCUUCGGACCAAAGAUUUAUCGGCCAGGGAUGAGCCCGCGUAGGAUUAGGUAGUUGGUGAGGUAAAGGCUCACCAAGCCGACGAUCCUUAUCUGGUCUGGGAGGAUGAUCAGCCACACUGGGACUGGGACACGGCCCAGACUCCUACGGGAGGCAGCAGUGGGGAAUAUUGGACAAUGGGCGCAAGCCUGAUCCUGCAAUGCCGCGUGAGUGAUGAAGGCCUUCGGGUCGUAAAGCUCUUUUACCAGGGAUGAUAAUGACAGUACCUGGAGAAUAAGCUCCGGCUAACUCCGUGCCAGCAGCCGCCGCAG
rnacentral:rRNA from 1 species